rnacentral:misc_RNA from 1 species
GAUGAAGAACGCAGCGAAAUGCGAUAAGUAAUGUGAAUUGCAGAAUUCGGUGAAUCAUCGAGUCUUUGAACGCACAUUGCGCCCCCUGGUAUUCCGGGGGGCAUGCCUGUCCGAGCGUCAUUGCUGCCCUCAAGCACGGCUUGUGUGUUGGGCCGUCGUCCCCCUCCUAGGGGACGGGCCCGAAAGGCAGCGGCGGCACCGCGUCCGGUCCUCGAGCGUAUGGGGCUUCGUCACCCGCUCCGUAGGCCCGGCCGGCGCUUGCCGACGACCAUCAAUCUCUUUCUCCAGGUUGACCUCGGAUCAGGUAGGGAUACCCGCUGAACUUAAGCAUAUCAAUAAGCGGAGGA